rnacentral:rRNA from 1 species
CUUUUGCUGGCGACCGGCGCACGGGUGAGUAACACGUAUCCAACCUGCCCUUUACUCGGGGAUAGCCUUUCGAAAGAAAGAUUAAUACCCGAUAGCAUAAUGAUUCCGCAUGGUUUCAUUAUUAAAGGAUUCCGGUAAAGGAUGGGGAUGCGUUCCAUUAGGUUGUUGGUGAGGUAACGGCUCACCAAGCCUUCGAUGGAUAGGGGUUCUGAGAGGAAGGUCCCCCACAUUGGAACUGAGGCACGGUCCAA